GGGCCCGUGGCCUAGUUUGGAUAGGGCGUCGGCCUCCGGAGCCGAAGACCGGGGGUUCGAGUCCCCCCGGGCCCG
rnacentral:tRNA from 1 species